rnacentral:rRNA from 1 species
UGGGGAAUAUUGGACAAUGGGCGAAAGCCUGAUCCAGCCAUGCCGCGUGUGUGAAGAAGGUCUUCGGAUUGUAAAGCACUUUAAGUUGGGAGGAAGGGCAGUAAGCGAAUACCUUGCUGUUUUGACGUUACCGACAGAAUAAGCACCGGCUAACUCUGUGCCAGCAGCCGCGGUAAUACAGAGGGUGCAAGCGUUAAUCGGAAUUACUGGGCGUAAAGCGCGCGUAGGUGGUUCGUUAAGUUGAAUGUGAAAGCCCCGGGCUCAACCUGGGAACUGCAUCCAAAACGGGCGAGCUAGAGUAGGGCAGAGGGUGGUGGAAUUUCCUGUGUAGCGGUGAAAUGCGUAGAUAUAGGAAGGAACACCAGUGCGAAGGCGACCACCUGGGCUCAUACUGACACUGAGGUGCGAAAGCGUGGGGAGCAAACAGG